GAUGAACGCUGGCGGCGUGCUUAACACAUGCAAGUCGAACGAAGCACUUUAACCUGAUUCUUCGGAUGAAGGUUUUUGUGACUGAGUGGCGGACGGGUGAGUAACGCGUGGGUAACCUGCCUCAUACAGGGGGAUAACAGUUAGAAAUGACUGCUAAUACCGCAUAAGACCACAGAGCCGCAUGGCUCGGUGGGAAAAACUCCGGUGGUAUGAGAUGGACCCGCGUCUGAUUAGGUAGUUGGUGGGGUAACGGCCUACCAAGCCAACGAUCAGUAGCCGACAUGAGAGGGUGACCGGCGACAUUGGGACUGAGACACGGCCCAAACUCCUACGGGAGGCAGCAGUGGGGAAUAUUGCAAAAUGGGGGAAACCCUGAUGCAGCGACGACGCGUGAGCGAAGAAGGAUUUCGGUAUGUAAAGCUAUAUCAGCAGGGAAGAAAAUGACGGUACCUGACGAAGAAGCACCGGCUAAAUACGUG
rnacentral:rRNA from 1 species